UAGGGAAUCUUCGGCAAUGGACGGAAGUCUGACCGAGCAACGCCGCGUGAGUGAAGAAGGUUUUCGGAUCGUAAAGCUCUGUUGUUAGAGAAGAACGUUGGUAGGAGUGGAAAAUCUACUAAGUGACGGUAACUAACCAGAAAGGGACGGCUAACUACGUGCCAGCAGCCGCGGUAAUACGUAGGUCCCGAGCGUUGUCCGGAUUUAUUGGGCGUAAAGCGAGCGCAGGCGGUUCUUUAAGUCUGAAGUUAAAGGCAGUGGCUUAACCAUUGUACGCUUUGGAAACUGGAGGACUUGAGUGCAGGAGGGGAGGGUAGAAUUCCAUGUGUAGCGGUGAAAUGCGUAGAUAUAUGGAGGAACACCGGUGGCGAAAGCGGCUCUCUGGUCUGUAACUGACGCUGAGGCUCGAAAGCGUGGGGAGCAAACAGG
rnacentral:rRNA from 1 species